CCUGCCCCUAGAGGUAUUGUGUCUGUGGCUGCUGUGUCACGUGUGUGUCAGUAGGUGGCAGAGAGGAGAGAGGCUGUGUCUACACUCAGUGUUCUGACCUAUGAACAUCUGAAUGAUGAGUUAGCCUCCCUGA